UGCCUCCAUCAUUCUGUGACAUGGGGAAUGCAAUCAGUUCUCUGAUUGGUCAGGGUGGGGUUGAGGGGGCGGGGCUUAAUGAGGAUGGAGAGGAGAAUGUGUUGCUCUCUGAGGAACAUAGUCUAGUGCUGACGUGUUGCUGGGUUUUCUUGAAGGAAAUUGGUAUUUUUCUGGGCUCCCUGGGGGAGAGAAUCCUGUCACUCCACUGUAAAGAACUGACAUUGAGUGUGAAAGAACUCAGAGGGGCUUCCAACGUGUUUAAAGACAUCAUUCUGAAACGCAGACAUUGGGGGGCAGUAAAGGGCUGCUGUGUUGGCAUCACUAAAUUCUGCAGGGCUCUACUGAGCAGCUCUGAUCCAUAGAUCAGGGAGAUUCCGCCCAGGGCCUUUCUGUUCUCCAGUCGCCCCGUAAUACAAAUACUUUGUCUUCCCCUGAUCUCAUUUCAACACUUGUGAAGAAGUCACGUGUUGAACUUUGACUUCUCGUAGGUUCUCUCUGCACCAGAAUGUUGGGUUAACAGCUGACCGGUGAAGAGGGCUCCACUCAUUCCAGCAUGUCUUCUUCUUCCUUCUUUAACCUCUACCCAGCCCUACAGCCCUUCCUCCAGGGGGCGCUGGAAAGCGCAGCUAAAGACCUUCAUGACGCCACCUUCCCUCUACCCUGUCCUCACCCUGCUCACCAAACUACAGCCUGGUGCUGAGGAACAGACACCGUAUGAUGGUUUACGGCUGUACAAACAAUCCAUACAUCCAAAUGCAUGAACAUAAAUGUAUUAUAUUGUAUAUUACAUUAGGUUUAUUGUAUUAUAUUAUUUGCUAAAUUUGACUAUCCAAAAAGUUGUAUAAUAUAUGAUUUUUUAUUUAUUAUGAUAUUAUAUCCAGAUUUAAAUACACAAUAUUUUGUAUAAUAUCAUAUCAGUAUAUAUUUAGAUUUUACAUUUUUGAAGACUAUGAUAUUAUAUUAAAUCUGGCAAAUUAGUCAAAUUUUCCUGAUUUAUAACCAUUAAUAUACAUUCGUGUUUCUGAUUUGCUUGAUGUCUUUGUGUUUUCCUCAGGACUUUGUCGAAAUUCCUGCCUCCGCUAUUCCUCCUAGCUGCCAGUCCAGUCUAUGGCGUACGAGUGAUGUCAUCGAGAGCCCUAGUUGCUAUGAUACCACCAAGUGAAUAUCUGGCAACUGUCCUGCAGUUGGUGGAAAACCUGCUGGAAUCGCAGGAUGUUGUGUGCUGUCACAGACUGCAUGGCCAACUCCUCCUACAGAUAGGAGCCAUACUGGCCAGGGCACUGAAAACUAACAUAUAAGCAGUUUUUGUCAUUUAUUUGUCAUUAGUUUUUUGCCACAGCAGUCAUAAUCAGUGAUCACAAUGUAAUCUGAGUCUUCUCGUUGAGCAGUCGGUCAUCUCACAGUGAUGUUGUCAGUGAGUUUGAGUCCAGACUGUAGAUGGCAUCUGUGAGGCAACAGUACCCGCUGGAGUGGCUGGCAAAAAGUGGAUAUAGUGAGGAUGAUAAAAGGCCAUUGCUCUGGUGUUUCCUCACUCAGCUCUCCUCCAACUACUGCAGGAGAUUCACAGGACUCCAAACAUACUAGAGGAUGGCUUUGCUUCUUUCCACCAAAGUACAGUGAACUUCCUUUAUGGGGAUCCUGAGUGGGCGUGUCAGGUGUGGCAGCAUCUGGCCAAUGGCCACGCAGUAGUACGUCUCUCAUUGAUCAAGUCUGCAACAGAGAGACAUGGCUGGAGAAGAACUGUCCUAUAGCAAGUUAUAGAGAGCGCGCUGCAGCGUCCAUCAUCUGCAGGCCAACCUGAAGAGGCGCUGUUGGACCAGAACGUGGAGUACUGGGGUGCAUUCUUGACUGCAUUAGUUGAGGUUAUGACCCCAGAGGAAGAGAGUCUUGCCCUGCCCGGUCCCUGUCCUUCAGGGUUUGAGGAGACAUGGCUGCAGGAGUGUGCGGAGCUUCUGUUUACUGAUCUGGAGUCAGAUAGAGGAGGACCUUUGCUGAUCUCAUGGCUCUGUGUGCAGUCAGCCUGCUCCUUUGUCACAGGGCUGCACGAUAAAUCACAUGCGAUAUUUAAUGCACAUCUUGUCAUAUUUGCACAUGUUUUGCACAGAUUGUCAGUGACAAUAUGAUCUGGCAUAUUAGAAUGAUUUCUGAAGCAUCAUGUGACAGAGAAGACUGUAUAAUUGCUGCUGAAAAUUCAGCUUUGUCAUCACAGAUGUCGCGGUUUGUAUGAGCAAGAUGAAGCAAUCUCAGAGUGCCUUUUGCCAACACCUAUUAAAUCUAGUUAAACAUUACCCAGAAUCUCCACUCUCGACCAAGAAACCUCGAGCACUGG